rnacentral:lncRNA from 1 species
UAUGUAAGACGUGAUGAUCUCUUGAAUUCAGAACCAAUGAUUUUUAGAACGUGAUCGUCUGUUGGACCUGAUUUGAUCGAAUCAUGGUUUUUUGUUUUGUUUUGUUUUUCUCUUUUUUUUUCUUUUUUUUUUUUGGUUGCAGCGCUAGCGUUUGGGCAUCCAUAUUAUGGGACGUAUGCGCACGCUCUGAACGGGGCGAAUUACGUGCGCGGCGCCAACUUUGCGUAUGCUGGCGCGACUGCGAACGCCACCACGUUCGUGACGCCGAUCCACCUCAACCUGCAGGUUGAUAAUUUCCUCAAUUUUAAGAGCAAGGCGCUCGACACAGGGUUCUAUUUCCCAGACCGUAAGCAUUGGACAACCAUCUCCAUUCACAAGGACUAAUAUUCAUCGCUGGCAGGUUUAUGCUUGAAUUUGAAGUUGAAAAUGGGUUUGAAAUACUCUACAUUUUCAUGUUUAGAGACUCCCAAUGUUUACAAGAAACUGUCAAAAUAAUGAAUAACUAUCAUGGAAUCAAUGGAGUAAUGUUUUUGAAGCAUUUAUUCAUGGAAGGCUCUUUCCCAAAAAUUGGCGAUUUUCUUACAGCCAAAUGAGCUCUCUUUGACAGAUUUGUGAUGUUCUCUAUACUCAUGUGAUAAAUCUAUGCUGCAUCUACAGAAUGGAGCCUACUGUUAGAAUACAGAAAGGGUGUCGAGGAACUUGAAUUGCACUUAGAAAAUGCCUCUGGUACCGAAAAAUCUAGACUGAUUUGGAUGGGAUUUAUAUGUGCAGCGAAAGGUCCGUAUCAACCAGUGUGGAAUGCGUUCAGCGACGGCGCGUACUACAUUCCUGAAAUCGGAGGCAUCGACCUGAUCGUUGCCACAAGUGUGCUGAACCUGCCGUCGCCGGUCGUCAUCGCCUCGUUCGUUCCAGCC